rnacentral:rRNA from 1 species
AGAGGUGGCGAGCGUUGUUCGGAUUUACUGGGCGUAAAGGGUGCGUAGGUGGUCUCGUGUGUCGGGUGUGAAAGCCCACGGCUCAACCGUGGAAUGGCAUUCGAAACUGCGAGACUUGAGUGCAGGAGGGGAGAGCGGAAUUCUUGGUGUAGCGGUGAAAUGCGUUGAUAUCAAGAAGAACACCGGUGGCGAAGGCGGCUCUCUGGAAUGCUACUGACACUGAGGCACGAAAGCUGGGGGGGAGCGAACAGGAUUAGAUACCCUGGUAGUCCCAGCCCGUAAACGGUGUGCACUUGGUGUGGGGGGAAUUGACCCCCUCCGUGCCGGAGCUAACGCGUUAAGUGCACCGCCUGGGAGUACGGCCGCAAGGCUA